rnacentral:rRNA from 1 species
UGGGGAAUAUUGCACAAUGGGCGAAAGCCUGAUGCAGCGACGCCGCGUGAGGGAUGACGGCCUUCGGGUUGUAAACCUCUUUCAGCAGGGAAGAAGCGAAAGUGACGGUACCUGCAGAAGAAGCGCCGGCUAACUACGUGCCAGCAGCCGCGGUAAUACGUAGGGCGCAAGCGUUGUCCGGAAUUAUUGGGCGUAAAGAGCUCGUAGGCGGUUAGUCGCGUCUGCUGUGAAAACCCGAGGCUCAACCUCGGGCUUGCAGUGGGUACGGGCUGACUAGAGUGCGGUAGGGGUGNNCUGGAAUUCCUGGUGUAGCGGUGGAAUGCGCAGAUAUCAGGAGGAACACCGAUGGCGAAGGCAGGUCACUGGGCCGCAACUGACGCUGAGGAGCGAAAAGCAUGGGGAGCGAACAGGAUUAGAUACCCUGGUAGUCCAUGCCGUAAAACGUUGGGCACUAGGUGUGGGGUCCAUUCCACGGAUUCCGUGCCGCAGCAAACGCAUUAAGUGCCCCGCCUGGGGAGUACGGCCGCAAGGCUAAAAACUUAAAUGAAUUGACGGGGUCCUAGCUGUUUCCUG